AACGAACGCUGGCGGCAUGCCUAACACAUGCAAGUCGAACGAGACCUUCGGGUCUAGUGGCGCACGGGUGCGUAACGCGUGGGAACCUGCCCUUAGGUUCGGAAUAACUCCCCGAAAGGGGUGCUAAUACCGGAUAAUGUCUUCGGACCAAAGAUUUAUCGCCUUUGGAUGGGCCCGCGUUGGAUUAGCUAGUUGGUAGGGUAAAAGCCUACCAAGGCGACGAUCCAUAGCUGGUCUGAGAGGAUGAUCAGCCACACUGGGACUGAGACACGGCCCAGACUCCUACGGGAGGCAGCAGUGGGGAAUAUUGGACAAUGGGCGAAAGCCUGAUCCAGCAAUGCCGCGUGAGUGAUGAAGGCCUUAGGGUUGAAAGCUCUUUUACCCGGGAUGAUAAUGACAGUACCGGGAGAAUAAGCGCCGGCUAACUCCGUG
rnacentral:rRNA from 1 species